AGCGAACGCUGGCGGCAGGCCUAACACAUGCAAGUCGAACGAAGUCUUCGGACUUAGUGGCGGACGGGUGAGUAACACGUGGGAACGUGCCUUUAGGUUCGGAAUAACUCAGGGAAACUUGUGCUAAUACCGAAUGUGCCCUUCGGGGGAAAGAUUUAUCGCCUUUAGAGCGGCCCGCGUCUGAUUAGCUAGUUGGUGAGGUAAAGGCUCACCAAGGCGACGAUCAGUAGCUGGUCUGAGAGGAUGAUCAGCCACAGUGGGACUGAGACACGGCCCAAACUCCUACGGGAGGCAGCAGUGGGGAAUCUUGCGCAAUGGGCGAAAGCCUGACGCAGCCAUGCCGCGUGAAUGAUGAAGGUCUUAGGAUUGUAAAAUUCUUUCACCGGGGACGAUAAUGACGGUACCCGGAGAAGAAGCCCCGGCUAACUACGUGCCAGCCGCCGCCGUAA
rnacentral:rRNA from 1 species